GUACUUCAAAUUUCUUGAUUUUUUUUUUUUAAUUUAAAUUUUGAAUGUUAGAGCUGAAUUUCCCAGUUUCCCAUCGCAAAGCCAAAGAAUUCGGCUUAAAAACUUUUGAGUUCCGAGGAAAGUUGACAUUUUACUGGGGCAAUCGACCCUAAGUACACCUACAUAAAACUACAACCGAUUCGAUGCAGUAUUUACUCAGUGAUUAGACAACGGCCGUUCCAUAUGCAAAUAUUUCCCCUCGCUGUGCCAGUUGUCAAAUAAACCACAUAAAUGUGGUAUAGUUCAUUAAGAGGAGUACUGGAAAGGAAGUUGUCCACUCGAAAAAACAAAUAGCGAAGCGAAAAACUCAAAGGAAAAAGUGCUGGCACAGAAAUCUUGCCUUUUGCCGACGGUAAAACCAAUCUUUUUUUUUUUGUGAAGGCGGCUUUAUAAAUCUGAAAGAGCAUGCGCAGUCAGCAAAGAGAGACAAUUAAGAGAAAAACAAGAAACGUAGAAAAAAAAACGACCACCUGUCUGAAAAAUGACAACACAACAAAGCGAAGCAAAGGAAGGGGGCGAAAAGGAGGAACGGAGAGCGCAGCCGCAAACGGAAAACGAAGGAAGGGAAGACAACGACAAAGAGUGAGCGAAAAGAAGGCUGAAUAAUGCAAAUGUGUUGUCGUUCGCCUUUGCGUUCGCAAAGAUCACACCACCUCCCAUGGCUAAUAAACCUAAAGAAAAAAGAGUUUAGGAGGCGGAAACCCGAGCUCAGGAAAUGCCCAGGUAAAAGUUAUAAAACUAAUAGUUCAAUGAUCUUCAUUCAGUCGCAGCUGUAAAAAACUGUGAGUGUUCAAACGGAGUAUGGAAGAAUGAAACUGCCCGAUGUUCACGAAUCUGAGUUCUGGUAUCGAAUAUUUAAUUGCUGGAAAAUGAUCUGCAAUGAUUAAUGGAUCGUAGGACCUACAAAAUAUGAACCGACACGAACUGGAGAACGAAAUUUAGAAAUCCGUUGGCCUGCUGUUGUGACUGUUGAAGUUCGUGUCUCUGGUUGCGUGGCAAACUGGCCCCGCCCCCAUUGCCAGCGCCG